GGAAGUGAAAGUCGUAACAAGGUUUCCGUAGGUGAACCUGCGGAAGGAUCAUUAUUGUAUAACCGAGGUGCGAGGGCUGUCGCUGACCCGAAAGGUCGUGCACGCCCGAGUGCCCUCACACACAUCCAUCUCACCCCUAUGUGCACCACCGCGUGGGUCCCCCUUUGGCUUGUUCGGAGCGGGGCUUACGUUUUCACACAAACUUUGUAUGCAGUGUAGAAUGUAUUUUUUGUUUUUGCGAUCACGCAAUCAAUACAACUUUCAACAACGGAUCUCUUGGCUCUC
rnacentral:misc_RNA from 1 species